GCUUCAGAAGCACAUAUUAAAAUUGGAAUCAUAAAGAGAAAAUUAACAUGGCCUCAUUGCCAGGAUGAUGAUACACAUAUUUCUGUUGUGUUCCUUUUUUUU